rnacentral:rRNA from 1 species
GACGAACGCUGGCGGCGUGCCUAAUACAUGCAAGUGGAACGCAUUGAUAUCACCGGAGCUUGCUCCACCGAUAUAAAUGAGUCGCGAACGGGUGAGUAACGCGUAGGUAACCUGCCUGAUAGCGGGGGAUAACUAUUGGAAACGAUAGCUAAUACCGCAUGAGAGUGUUUAACACAUGUUAGAGACUUAAAAGAUACAAUUGUAUCACUAUCAGAUGGACCUGCGUUGUAUUAGCUAGUUGGUAGGGUAGCGGCCUACCAAGGCAACGAUACAUAGCCGACCUGAGAGGGUGAUCGGCCACACUGGGACUGAGACACGGCCCAGACUCCUACGGGGGGCAGCAGUAGGGAAUCUUCGGCAAUGGACGAAAGUCUGACCGAGCAACGCCGCGUGAGUGAAGAAGGUUUUCGGAUCGUAAAGCUCUGUUGUAGCGGAAGAACGCGUGUAAGAGUGGAAAGUUUACACAGUGACG